GACGAACGCUGGCGGCGUGCUUAACACAUGCAAGUCGAACGGAAAGGCCUGCUUUCCCUUGUGGAUUGCGGGUACUCGAGUGGCGAACGGGUGAGUAACACGUGAGUGAUCUGCCCCCAACUUGGGUAUAAGCCUGGGAAACUGGGUCUAAUUCCCGAUAGGACUGCAGGGUGGUGCCUGUGGUGGAAAACGAUUUUCUAGUGGUUGGGGAUGAGCUCGCGGCCUAUCAGCUUGUUGGUGGGGUAAUGGCCUACCAAGGCGGCGACGGGUAGCCGGCCUGAGAGGGUGGACGGGCACAUUGGGACUGGGAUACGGCCCAGACUGCUACGGGAAGCAGCAGUGGGGAAUAUAGGACAAUGGGCGGAAGCCUGAUGCGGCGACGCCGCGUGGAGGAUGACGGCCUUCGGGUUGUAAACUCCUUUCGACCGCGAGGAAGCCACCUGGUUGGAAGGGUGGUGACGGUAGUGGUAGAAGAAGCACCGGCUAACUACGUG
rnacentral:rRNA from 1 species